GGGGAUAUGGGUUCAAUAUGGUAGAAGUGCUUGCCUGGCAAGCAUAAGGGACUGAGUUCAAAUCUCAGUACCACCA
rnacentral:tRNA from 1 species